UGGAUGAUUUUCCCUAUAGUAUUGUUAC
rnacentral:sRNA from 1 species